GACGGGCUGUCUAGGAUGUCCAGGACCGGUGUUUGUAAGGGAGGAUGCCUCGCACCGGCUCCACAGAGAGUGAUGCUUACUGAGGGAUGCAGGAGAGCGCCACACAGGCGAGACAGACACCGGAGGCUGAGCUCUGUAUCAUGGCCGUCUGCUUAAAGGGAUGCUGUCUGCUAUCCAGUUAUGGCUGAGAUCCUCUUGUUCCUCUGCCUCAUCUAUAUCUAUCCCUGCAGCUCCUGCCCAUCUUCACCUUCCAUGACUUCUUCGUGAUGGCAUCAUAAUCUCUGCCAGAGUGGUCUCAUGUAUGCAUUGCAAGGCGGCUGCAUGAUCAAGCCUGUGAACUCUACAUCUGAAGGAAGGAUUCUGUUUCUGAUCAUAUCCCUAUUGAAGUCCAUCCAUUUGCCGAACAUGGAGGUGUUGACGCACUCGCGCUUGCACUCACCGGGACCAUGAAUAAUUCCAAGGAACCAAAGGAAGAGAGAGAAAAAAAGAUACAGCCAUCACUCAUAUCACGCAGCUGCAGUCAGCCUGCACAGUGAUGCUCUAAAGCCAUUAGUGAGUCCUAGCACCGAUAAUGAAGCCACAGAGGUGGUCUGAGCCAGUAUGGCAUUGGCGCUGGAACACGGGAGGAGGGUAGAUUAGGAUAAUUACCUAGCCAUGGUGGAGCAAUGGAAAAAAAACAUCUCUGACUUCCUGCAGGCCUUGAACAGCAAAGGAACACAGUUCAAUCAGGUGUUCUCAACAUCCCGCUCUUAUGUAUGUAUGUGUUUAUUUGUUGUUUGCGAGGCUGUGAUUUAGGUCUCUCACACAUACUGUAAGGACAUCCUAAAUAUCCACGCUCACAGAGACUUUGAAGAGCCUAUGAGGUCAGGUUUUAAAUUAUGGUCUGAACCCACACCAAGCUUUCUCCCUCCACUCCUGUAAAUCCAUUUUCCACACAAUGCAUUUCAAAUCAAAGCGGCGUCACCAUAACAUGCCUUAGGAAACAUUAAGCCAUAGUGCGUUACUUUCAUGUAUGAUAGCAUAGCCUCUGUAUGCUUUGAUGUGCUCACGUUUUUUUUUAAAUGCUUUAUUAAUAAUAACACAUUGGCUCCUUCUCACACCACCAUCAGCUUCUGAUGCACCUUUCUCUCCUCCUGAACAACAUCCCUCACUCUUUCCAUGCCUCAGGUGCGUCAUCCCUCCCCAGCCCCUGAGCCGUGUUUUAGGAUUGGCCCGUUUGUGUUUGGGAAGGAGAUUAGAAGGAAUGACAUGGGCCUUGAGAUGAAGAGAGUUACAAAGACCUAUCAGAGGGCAGAGAGUACAGAGUGCAGAAACACCAUUGGCUAGUGAGGAAAUCAGACAUGUCUUCAUUUCUCCCAGCCAUCCUCGCUGAGUGUCUUGCUUUCAUUUCCUCACCCGAGGAGGGAAGCAUAGGGGGGUGGGUGAGGAUCAGGAUUUGAGUUUCUGUUUGUGAGUGUAAGUGUGCGUGGAAAUGUGUGUUUGCUUGCAUGUUGUGUGCAGUAAACAUAGAAAUACAGAGGGAUGAGCAUGUAGACACUGAUAGCACUCACCUCCUCCAAAGCUGGCCAAAAUACAAAGCAGCCUGCGCAUUCCUAGUGUUGUCCUAGCUGAACACUAUGAAUGGGAUGCCUGAUUCAUAGACAUGCAAGCUUAUCUCCUAAUAAAUUGCUGCAGCUUUAUCACUGGAUGUUUUACAUCUGUGUUUUAAUGGCAAAAGUAUCCCAAAUCACACAACUGCUGUUGAGUAUUUGCUGAUAUUUUCCUUCUGGCAAAUUCAAUAUAAUGCCUGCAAUUUACUGGAUCACUUAGCAGUUUGUCACAAUAACAUGUGUACUCCUGCACACAAACAUCUGCUGAUUUAAUUUUCU